GCGGGGGGUAGGUUACACUCAAUCCCGCAGAAAGUUUUCAGAAACUGAAGUGCAGAAUCACAACAGACAUGGCAGCGGAGGCCGCGCAGGCAACAGGUGAACCUCGGAGAAACCUGGCACCCUCCCGCGGGCAAGUUUUUUUUUGGGGGGGGGGCUUGCAGCACCCCUGGCUCUACCACCCCACAGAACAUUUUUCCCCCCUCCUUCGCCGAAGCGGAGAGAGACAAAUCGCGACUAUCAGCCUCGCAGCUCCAGGGCGAGAGAGGGCCUCCUGAACCUACCAUCACCGAAAAGUCACAAGUAUGGAAGGAGACUCUGUAGGGGUCUCCGUGGCGAUGAUCACAGCAGAACAGAAUUGUCCUCACUACUGGCCUUCUGUCUUGGACCGCAGGCAUACCCUGGAUGCCUUGCACCCAUUCUGCAAAUGCAAGGAGCCUCUGUCAUUCAAAGCGCUUCAUCAGAAAUAAAAGAUAAAACCUU